UACGUAGGGUGCGAGCGUUAUUCGGAAUUACUGGGCGUAAAGUGUGCGCAGGCGGCCUAGUAAGUCGGGUGUGAAAGCCCCGAGCUUAACUUGGGAAUUGCGCUCGAAACUACUUGGCUGGAGUGUGGCAGAGGAAGGUGGAAUUCCCGGUGUAGCGGUGAAAUGCGUAGAGAUCUGGAGGAACACCGAUGGCGAAGGCAGCCUUCUGGGCCAACACUGACGCUCAUGCACGAAAGCGUGGGGAGCAAACAGG
rnacentral:rRNA from 1 species